rnacentral:rRNA from 1 species
UAAGAGGUCCCGCCUGCCCUGUGACUAUGGGUUCAACGGCCGCGGUAUUUUGACCGUGCAAAGGUAGCGCAAUCACUUGUCUUUUAAAUGAAGACCUGUAUGAAUGGCAUGACGAGGGCUUAACUGUCUCCUUUUUCCAGUCAAUGAAAUUGAUCUCCCCGUGCAGAAGCGGGGAUAAACCCAUAAGACGAGAAGACCCUGUGGAGCUUUAGACAACAGAGCAGACCGUGUGAAUAACCCCAAUUAAGGAAUAGAACUAAUUGAGUUUCUGCUCUAAUGUUUUUGGUUGGGGCGACCGCGGGGCAACGAAAAUCCCCCAUGUGGAACGGGAGCACCUAUUUACCCCACAACCGAGAGCUACAACUCUAAGAAACAGAAAUUCUGACCAUCAAGAUCCGGCAAUGCCGAUCAACGAAACGAGUUACCCCAGGGAUAACAGCGCAAUCCUCUUUUAGAGCCCAUAUCGACAAGGGGGUUUACGACCUCGAUGUUGGAUCAGGACAUCCUAAUGGUGCAGCCGCUAUUAAGGGUUCGUUUGUUCAACGAUUAA